GUAGCGUUGGAGGGUAAAUGUAGCGUUGGAGGGUAAAUGUAGCAUUAGAGGGUAAAUGUAGCGUUAGAGGAUAAAUGUAGCGUUAGAGGGUAAAUGUAGCGUUAGAGGGUAAAUGUAGCGUUAGAGGGUAAAUGUAGCGUUAGAGGGUAAAUGUAGCGUUAGAGGGUAAAUGUAGCGUUAGAGGGUAAAUGUAGCGUUAGAGGGUAAAUGUAGCGUUAGAGGGUAAAUGUAGCGUUAGAGGGUAAAUGUAGCGUUAGAGGGUAAAUGUAGCAUUGGAGGG